ACUUCUUAAUAUUGAAAAUCUCAACACCAGUCCAGACAUUAAUGAAGGCAAAACUGCCAAACACUAAGGUCUUACAGACUUAUUUCAUUUUUCCCUAUGCCAGAUCCAAAUUAUGUACAAAAAGCUCAUAUCUGAAUUUAUAAAGUACAGCAAAUCAAUAGGAUAAAAGACAUACUCCAAUAGAAAAAUAAACAAAUGACUUGAAUAUCUAUAUUUUUAAAAAUAAUAACCAAUUGGCCAACAAAAUUAUAAACAAUCAUUAGUAAUUAGAAAAAUGCAAAUUCAGACAUACUAUUUUAUUCCAACCAGAAAAGAUUUAAUAAAUUAAGAGUGUCAAUAUGAUUAAAUUUUGGUGAAGAUGUUUAGCUACUGGAAUGCUUAUUACUAGGAGUAAACUGUUAUGAUUACUUUGGUAAUAUCUGACAUACUUAAUCAUACUCCAUGAGCUAAUAUACCUCACAUUUAAAGACAUGUAAGAGAAUAUAUAACAGCAUUAUCAUAAUUGCCAAAAAUUUACAUGUCCAUUAGAAAUAAAAUGGAUGAAUAUAUUGCAGUAAAUUUAUACAACUGAAUACAACAAUGGAAAUGAAUGAACAAUUGCUACAUUCAACAGUGGGGAUGAAUUUUACAAACAUAAUGUUAACCAAAGGAAGCAGACAAAAUAUUGCAUUACUCUGUUUAUGUAAAUUUCAAAAAGCAAAUGAAUCUGUG
rnacentral:lncRNA from 1 species